rnacentral:rRNA from 1 species
GACAUGCAGGUGAUCGCCGUUGAAAGACGGUUUCCUCUUCGGAGGCACCUGCACAGGUGCUGCAUGGCUGUCGUCAGCUCGUGUCGUGAGAUGUUGGGUUAAGUCCCGCAACGAGCGCAACCCUUAUCCCUAAUUGCCAUCAGGUAAAGCUGGGAACUCUGGGGAGGACUGCCGGUGAUAAACCGGAGGAAGGCGGGGAUGACGUCAAGUCCUCAUGGCCCUUACAUCCCGGGCUACACACGUGCUACAAUGGCAGGUACAGAGGGCUGCGAAGCCGCGAGGUGGAGCGAAUCCCAGAAAACCUGUCUCAGUCCGGAUUGAAGUCUGCAACUCGACUUCAUGAAGGCGGAAUCGCUAGUAACCGCGAAUCAGCAGGUCGCGGUGAAUACGUUCCCGGGCCUU